rnacentral:hammerhead_ribozyme from 1 species
AUCCAUCUAACGAGUCUCAAAUAGCACGAAAUGCGCAUCCUGGAU